CCAUAUCACUUUAAAACAUCAGUUCCCAUACGAUCACUGAAGUUAAGCAACUUCGAUCUUGAUCAGUACCUAGAUAGGUGAUCGCUUAAGAAUUCCAAAUGCCGUAAG